CCUUGUCGACGAAUGGUUUUCCUGUCUGAUUUGGCUUGGUUGAAGCUUCUCCCAAAGUGCUAUUUGAGACAUUAUAAACUUUUGUUUUGUCGAGAUCUUCCUGAUAUUCUCUCAUUGUAGCAGGAGCAAUAUGUCACGGGCUUAGCGUUUUUGUUCGCAAAGCCCAUGCGGCGUCCGCCUUCCUGUUCGAAGAUAUACAAGCCUUCGUCCAUAUUGCUAGUCCGAAUCUUCGCGUCCUACGACUAAGUAUGUAAAAGAAAUGACAAAGAGAGAAAGGCAGAGGUUCAUUCAAAAAACUAAGUAUUCCACUACUUAAAAAAGGAGAUUACAGCAUGUAAACACACUCUCUCUUGUGUGUCUUGACCUUAGCCAAACCCUACUAUUUAUAGGCCUAUGGAUAGAAUAAAUCUAGCCACUCAACACACUCACUAUCUCACUCAUAAUGAGCCUUCAUAAUAGCCAAAAGCACAUGAGUCACCUUAUUAACUCUUGGUAGUUUUAUAACCUUUGAGUUUCCAUCAUUGAUGGAAAAAGUUACAAAACUCUUCAUCUCUCCACAGUGGGUUGGGUUUUCUGGGCGUUGA
rnacentral:lncRNA from 1 species